UAGGGAAUCUUCCACAAUGGACGAAAGUCUGAUGGAGCAACGCCGCGUGAGUGAUGAAGGGUUUCGGCUCGUAAAACUCUGUUGUUGGAGAAGAACGGGUGUCAGAGUAACUGUUGACAUCGUGACGGUAUCCAACCAGAAAGCCACGGCUAACUACGUGCCAGCAGCCGCGGUAAUACGUAGGUGGCAAGCGUUGUCCGGAUUUAUUGGGCGUAAAGCGAGCGCAGGCGGUUUUUUAGGUCUGAUGUGAAAGCCUUCGGCUUAACCGGAGAAG
rnacentral:rRNA from 1 species